AUUGAACGCUGGCGGCAUGCUUUACACAUGCAAGUCGAACGGCAGCACGGGGGCAACCCUGGUGGCGAGUGGCGAACGGGUGAGUAACACAUCGGAACGUGUCCAGUUGUGGGGGAUAACCCAUCGAAAGGUGGGCUAAUACCGCAUGAGCUGGCAACAGGAAAGCGGGGGACCCGCAAGGGCCUUGUGCGAUUGGAGCGGCCGAUGUCCGAUUAGCUAGUUGGUGGGGUAAAGGCCUACCAAGGCUUCGAUCGGUAGCUGGUCUGAGAGGAUGAUCAGCCACACUGGGACUGAGACACGGCCAGACUCCUACGGGAGGCAGCAGUGGGGAAUUUUGGACAAUGGGGCAACCCUGAUCCAGCCAUGCCGCGUGCGGGAAGAAGGCCUCGGUGUAACG
rnacentral:rRNA from 1 species